rnacentral:rRNA from 1 species
UAGGGAAUCUUCCGCAAUGGACGCAAGUCUGACGGAGCAACGCCGCGUGAUUUAGAAGGCCUUCGGGUUGUAAAAAUCUUUUCUAUGGGAAGAAAAUGACAGUACCAUAGGAAUAAGGACCGGCUAAUUACGUGCCAGCAGCCGCGGUAAUACGUAAGGUCCGAGCGUUGUCCGGAAUCAUUGGGCGUAAAGGGUACGUAGGCGGGUAAGCAAGUUAGAAGUGAAAUCCUGUAGCUCAACUACAGUAAGCUUUUAAAACUGCUCAUCUUGAGAUAUGGAAGGGAAAGUGGAAUUCCUAGUGUAGCGGUGAAAUGCGCAGAUAUUAGGAGGAAUACCGGUGGCGAAGGCGACUUUCUGGCCAUAAUCUGACGCUGAGGUACGAAAGCGUGGGUAGCAAACAGG